AUUGAACGCUGGCGACAGGCCUAACACAUGCAAGUCGAACGAGUGGCGGACGGGUGAGUAAUGUCUGGGAAACUGCCCGAUGGAGGGGGAUAACUACUGGAAACGGUAGCUAAUACCGCAUACCAUCGGAUGUGCCCAGAUGGGAUUAGCUUGUAGGUGAGGUAACGGCUCACCUAGGCGACGAGCCCUAGCUGGUCGGAGAGGAUGACCAGCCACACGGGAAGUGAGACACGGUCCAGAUGCCGACGGUAGGCAGCAGUGGGGAAUAUUGCACAAUGGGCGCAAGCCUGAUGCAGCCAUGCCGCGUGUAUGAAGAAGGCCUUCGGGUUGUAAAUUACUUUCAGCGGGGAGGCGUUACCCGCAGAAGAAGCACCGGCUAACUCCGUGCCAGCAGCCGCGGUAAUAA
rnacentral:rRNA from 1 species